ACACUACUGGCUGUCACUGAGUAAAGCACCGCCCCCUGGCUACUCCCCCAAGAGACUGUUGCUGUGUUACUGCUACAGCUCACACUGGCAGACAGAUUUUGUGGAUAUUCCAUGAGGAAUAGUGCGGAUGGGAGUUCUGGAUUUGGAAAAGUGGGCUUGCAUAUUAAAAUGCAGUUGUGAAGGACCACUCCUCUCCUCAAACUCCACCAGUGUAUUUCAGGACGCAUUGUGAUUGAGAUGUGAAGAUGAAAGUGUGUUGCUAACAGCGCUGGUGCAUUGGCCUUGUGUCACAUUCACACAAAAUGUGUAUGUCUGACUGCACUGCAGUCCGGCCACCACAC